UCAGGGGACCUGCCCUGAUAAUCAGGGACGUUCCAUGCUGAGAAAAGGAAUUCAGCGAUAUUUCUCCCAUUUGCUUUUGAAAGAAGAGAAAUAUGGUUCUGUUCUGCCCGGCUCACCAGCAGUCAGAGUUUAAGGUUCUCUCUCUUAUUCCCUGAACAAUUGCUGUUAUCCUGUUCUUUUUUUUAUCCUGUUCUUUUUUCAGGGUGCCCACAUUUCAUAUUGCUCAAACACACAUGCUGUACAAUUUGUGUACUUAACGCAAUUAUUACAGGUCCUGAGACGAUAUACAUCCUUCUCGGCUGACAGGAUUAAGAGAUUAAAGUAAUGAAAGGCAUAGGAUAUCACAAGGGUAUUGAUUGGGGAAGUGAUAAGUGUCCAUGAAAUCUUUACAAUUUAUGUUUAGAGAUUGCAGUAAAGGCAGGCAUAAGAAAUUACAAAAGUAUUAAUUUGGGGAACUAAUAAAUGUCCAUAAAAUCUUCAUAAUUCACGUUCUUCUGUUAUGGCUUCAGCCGGUCCCUCCGUUUGGGGUCCCUGACUUCCCGCAACACAGCACAGUGCCUGGCACAAAAGAGUUGCUCAAUAAAUAAAUCAGGAUGAAUAGAUAAAUACACGGAUAGGCACUUUGAACUACAGAUGAGAUUAAAUACUUUGUGUUUUUCUUAGUCAAUGUUUUUCUUAGUCAAACGUGUAAUUAAGCAUGUGAUA
ensembl:lncRNA novel transcript